UACAGAGGUCUCAAGCGUUGUUCGGAUUCAUUGGGCGUAAAGGGUGCGUAGGCGGCGCGGUAAGUCGGGUGUGAAAUCUCGGAGCUUAACUCCGAGACUGCAUUCGAUACUGCCGUGCUUGAGGACUGGAGAGGAGACUGGAAUUUACGGUGUAGCGGUGAAAUGCGUAGAUAUCGAGAGGAACACCGGUGGCGAAGGCGGCAUCCUGGACCAUUACUGACGCUGAGGCGCGAAAGCUAGGGGAGCAAACGGG
rnacentral:rRNA from 1 species